CAUAGAAGAAGCCCCGGCUAACUUCGUGCCAGCAGCCGCGGUAAUAUGAAGGGGGCUAGCGUUGUUCGGAAUUACUGGGCGUAAAGCGCGCGUAGGCGGUUUUGCAAGCCAGAGGUGAAAUGCCUGAGCUCAACUCAGGAAUGGCCUUUGGGACUGCGAGGCUUUGAGGACUGGAGAGGUGAGUGGAAUUCCCAGUGUAGAGGUGAAAUUCGUAGAUAUUGGGAAGAACACCGGUGGCGAAGGCGGCUCACUGGCCAGUUUCUGACGCUGCAGCGCGAAAGCGUGGGGAUCAAACAGGAUUAGAUACCCUGGUAGUCCACGCUGUAAACGAUGAGUGCUAGGCGUCGGCAGGCUUGCCUGUCGGUGCCGCAGCUAACGCGUGAAGCACUCCGCCUGGGGAGUACGGUCGCAAGAUUAAAACUCAAAGGAAUUGACG
rnacentral:rRNA from 1 species